rnacentral:lncRNA from 1 species
AGGAGCCUGAGCGUAAUGUUAAUGUUCUGAGUGCUUCUGAAGUGACAGGAAGUGGUGCAUAUGCCCAGGGACAAAGCCAAGUUGAGGAGCAGAACCACAGUAGCUUGAGGAAGGAAUAGGUGAGAGUCAGAAAUAAGCUUCAAAUGAAAUAGGCUUUCGAUGUGACAGUGUUUACAGGAAACAUUAUGCUGUUACGAACUUCCCUUAGAAUCAACCCAUUUGUGAAACACCACAUUAAUAAGAGCAGUAUCUUUGGAGAUUGGAGAGUCCACCAAGGAUGCCCACUGGCUCCCUACAAAGUUUUUUAUGUGAGGACUCGGUCUCAGAUAUGGCUACUGGGAUUCUGUUCAAACUGAGUGAAGACAUCAUCAUCUUUCUUUGAGAUCUUCCUUGCUUUCUGGCCAAAGAAGUUAUUCCCUGACCCGACUUUCCAAAGAGUACUAGUUCCUUUUAGCAGUGAUUAGAAACCUGAUCUGAGUACUACUGUGUGUGCUUGUGACUAGUGUGGUUUUAUUGUUUCUAUGUCCUUUCAGCGAGCAGAUCUACAAUGAGGGAUACAUCUAAACAAAACUCCAUAUUAAUAAGUCCAGUUGAAAUCUAACAACAUAGGGUUCUUUCGCAUUCUCUUGCAUUCCAUAUUUGUAUAUUCGUUCACCCAUGGUGGCAACCCUGGCUAUUAGAAAUAUAAUUGUAUUUAUUUUGCUGUAUCCUACAAUAAAACAAAAAAAUUAAGAAUUACUAUACCAACAUCAUGAUAAAAAUACACAUACUAAGUAAAUCUGUUAUGUAAACUACAAGUGUGUUUGUAGCAUUUUUGUUUUUACACUAUAGCCUACUAAGUGUGCAAUUAGACUUCUUGCUCACUGGUUUCUGUUUACUUUUAAUUUUAGUAUU